rnacentral:misc_RNA from 1 species
UCUCCGUUGGUGAACCAGCGGAGGGAUCAUUACUGAGUUACCGCUCUACAACCCUUUGUGGACAUACCUAACUGUUGCUUCGGCGGGCAGAGGUCCCUCGCGGAUCUCUCCCGGCAACGCCCUCACGGGCGGAGCGCCCGCCGGAGGAUACCAAACUCUAUUUUAACGACGUUUCUUCUGAGUGGCACAAGCAAAUAAUUAAAACUUUUAACAACGGAUCUCUUGGUUCUG